GCCUUCGUGAUGUAGUAGUCAGCACACUCCACGGGUAACCGAGAGGUCCGUGGUUCGAUUCCCGGCGAAGGCG
rnacentral:tRNA from 1 species